CAACUUUUAACAAUGGAUCUCUUGGCUUUUGCAUCGAUGAAGAACGUAGCAAAUUGCGAUAACUAGUGUGAAUUGCAAAUUCAGUGAAUCAUCGAGUCUUUGAACGCAUCUUGCGCUCAUUGGUAUUCCAGUGAGCACGCCUGUUUCAGUAUCAAA
rnacentral:rRNA from 2 species